rnacentral:rRNA from 1 species
UGGCGGACGGGUGAGAAACUCGUAAUCAACCUGCCCUUCAAUGGGGGACAACAGUUGGAAACGACUGCUAAUACCGCAUACGAUCGUAAUUCGGCAUCGAGAUACGAUGAAAGGUGGCCUCUAUUUAUAAGCUAUCGUUGAAGGAGGGGAUUGCGUCUGAUUAGCUAGUUGGAGGGGCAACGGCCCACCAAGGCAAUGAUCAGUAGCCGGUCUGAGAGGAUGAACGGCCACAUUGGGACUGAGACACGGCCCAAACUCCUACGGGAGGCAGCAGUGGGGAAUCUUCCGCAAUGGACGAAAGUCUGACGGAGCAACGCCGCGUGAGUGAUGAAGGUCUUCGGAUUGUAAAGCUCUGUUAAUCGGGACGAAAGAGCCUAGUGUGAAUAAUGCUAGGAAGUGACGGUACCGGAAUAGAAAGCCACGGCUAACUACGUGCCAGCAGCCGCGGUAAUA